UGCUCUAAGUUCCUGUUUGAUUUGAUCCAUUCAUGUGUGUUUUCUGUAGGUUUGACUCAGUUCAGUCACAGCCCUAACGCUGAGUGGCACCUGAACAGCCACAGCAACAAACAGUCCCUGCUGCAGGCCAUUGACCGGAUAAAGUAUCAAGGUGGAAACUCAAUGACAGGACGAGCUCUAGGUUUCAUUCUUCAUCACAGCUUUAAACCCGGGGUGGGAAUGCGUCCAGACUCAAAAAAAAUUGCUGUUCUGAUCACUGAUGGAAUGUCUCUGGACGAAGUAGAAAUCCCAGCAAAUAAUCUGAAAGACACUGGGGUUGAGGUCUUUGUUAUUGGUGUGGGCGACCUUGAUGAACUGAGGACCAUCGCUUCUGAAGAUAUCAACAGUCAUUUUUACCUUUUUUCAAAUUUCCAAUCCCUCCAUGAUGCUGCCUCCAAUAUCUCCACCAGCAUCUGUCAUGCUGCUACUGAGCUGAAACAACUUCCCAGUUACUGUGAGUAUGUUUAUAAAAUGUCCUGUUUAUUUAAGAGCCAUAAAAAACAGGAAUUAAUAAUAAAUAAAUAUCUUAAU